AUUCUGCUCCGAACCCCAUACCUGAACACAUUCCUCCAUUUGAACUUAGCUCAUUACUAGCUGCAGCCCACUCUACAGUGGCUACCCUGGGCUUUUGCUUGGCUAUCCUACCCAGGGUGAAUAACCAUCACUUCACUCCCUCGUUCCCGCCGACAUUUCACUGCGGAACUCCUAACCAAUCACGAUUGUUUAUACGUAUAUUUAUGUGUGAAUUUAUGUACAUUCUGAUGAAUAUAACUAUGAAACUGCAA